UAAUGUCUCUUUAAGACAGUGCUUGUGUCGUGAAGUGUGAAGCGAAGGUGAAGUAAUGACGUUACGUGCCUUACCGGCAUCCUGUUAUAUGAUACAAGAAAGAUUUAAAAAUAUUGAUUUGUCAACGAGUAGAAUGCCUUCGCUAAUAUUUAGUAAUAGGUAUGACCUUGCGUUAUAGGUGAAACCUACAUCUAAUGGGUGAAAUGGUAUCUUAUAAUAAUUACUAUAG